rnacentral:rRNA from 1 species
AUAUUGGACAAUGGGGGAAACCCUGAUCCAGCGACGCCGCGUGAGUGAAGAAGUAUUUCGGUAUGUAAAGCUCUGUCAGCAGGGAAGAAAGAAAUGACGGUACCUGACCAAGAAGCCCCGGCUAAAUACGAGCCAGCAGCCGCGGUACUACGUAGGGGGCAAGCGUUAUCCGGAAUUACUGGGUGUAAAGGGAGCGUAGACGGUAAUGUAAGUCUGGAGUGAAAGGCGGGGGCCCAACCCCCGGACUGCUUUGGAAACUGUAUGGCUGGAGUGCAGGAGAGGUAAGUGGAAUUCCUAGUGUAGCGGUGAAAUGCGUAGAUAUUAGGAGGAACACCAGUGGCGAAGGCGGCUUACUGGACUGUAACUGACGUUGAGGCUCGAAAGCGUGGGGAGCAAACAG